GGCGCAAGCCUGAUGGAGCAACACCGCGUGAGUGAAGAAGGGUUUCGGCUCGUAAAACUCUGUUGUUGGAGAAGAACGUGCGUAAGAGUAACUGUUUACGCAGUGACGGUAUCCAACCAGAAAGUCACGGCUAACUACGUGCCAGCAGCCGCGGUAAUACGUAGGUGGCAAGCGUUAUCCGGAUUUAUUGGGCGUAAAGCGAGCGCAGGCGGUUGCUUAGGUCUGAUGUGAAAGCCUUCGGCUUAACCGAAGAAGUGCAUCGGAAACCGGGCGACUUGAGUGCAGAAGAGGACAGUGGAACUCCAUGUGUAGCGGUGGAAUGCGUAGAUAUAUGGAAGAACACCAGUGGCGAAGGCGGCUGUCUGGUCUGCAACUGACGCUGAGGCUCGAAAGCAUGGGUAGCGAACAGGAUUAGAUACCCUGGUAGUCCAUGCCGUAAACGAUGAGUGCUAGGUGUUGGAGGGUUUCCGCCCUUCAGUGCCGAAGCUAACGCAUUAAGCACUCCGCCUGGGGAGUACGACCGCAAGGUUGAAACUCAAAGGAAUUGACGGGGGCCCGCACAAGCGGUGGAGCAUGUGGUUUAAUUCGAAGCUACGCGAAGAACCUUACCAGGUCUUGACAUCUUGCGCCAACCUCAGAGAUGAGGCGUUCCCUUCGGGGACGC
rnacentral:rRNA from 2 species